GAUGAACGCUAGCGGCAGGCCUAACACAUGCAAGUCGAGGGGUAACAGAGAGAGCUUGCUUUCUGCUGACGACCGGCGCACGGGUGCGUAACGCGUAUGCAACCUACCUCUUACUGGAGGAUAGCCCGAAGAAAUUCGGAUUAAGACUCCAUAGUAUUAUUCUUUCGCAUGUUAGAAUAAUUAAAGGUUACGGUAAGAGGUGGGCAUGCGUCCCAUUAGCUAGAUGGUAAGGUAACGGCUUACCAUGGCAACGAUGGGUAGGGGCCUGAGAGGGUGAUCCCCACACUGGUACUGAGACACGGACCAGACUCCUACGGGAGGCAGCAGUGAGGAAUAUUGGUCAAUGGAGGCAACUCUGAACCAGCCAUGCCGCGUGUAGGAAGAAUGUCCUAUGGAUUGU
rnacentral:rRNA from 1 species